CAGGAGGAAACCCACUUCCAGGCCCUGCCCUGGGCUCCAAGGACCACACUGGCUCCAACAGCCAAAGUGCUGGGAGAAACCUGGCCUCUGAGAAAGAAAGGCAGCAAGCACAAUGUUUUAUUAGUGCUCCAGACAUUUAUUUCCUGAGUUAACAACAAUAAUAAACUCGUUUACAGCUGUGAGUUUCAUUGCCUCCCCAUGGGGCGCCCACCUGCUGCCACCCACUGUCGGCGUGUUUGCGGCUCGGAGCACAGAGGGCAGCCUGGCAGCUGGCACAGGGCUGAUUACUGGAUUCCUAAAUGGGGAAAGAAAGCUCUGGGGAACAGGGUCUCUGGCCCUCCAGGGAUUUCACCACAGGAUUCUGACUGCUGCCAUUUUAGAGUUCUGGUUCUAUCAGGAACAGAGUUUGAAUUAAACAGCAAUUGCUCUUUAACGACCUUGGAGCACCUUUUGCCACAAGUGUAUGGACCAAUACAGCCCAGGUGCAGCCUCGUGACAGUUGUCUGGAGAAGUUUCUUGGAAAUUUAUGAGACUUUCAAAACACAAACUGCUCGGAGCCGAGCCGACCUGCUGGAGACUGGGAGAAUCAGAGGCAGGUCUGACCUGGAGCCCAACAACAUGACGACCCCGGUCCUUGCACAUGGAGUGGCUCCUGCCAGUGGGGCUCACCAGCAGCACUGACCUUCCAGGUUGCCCCCAGGUUAGCAGGAGCAGGUUGCUCCAAAAGAUAAAUGUCCCUCUCAGGCUGGGGAUUUAGCUCAGUGGUUCCGCCACCUGCCUCGCAAGUGGAAGGUCCGGAGUUCGAUCCCCAGUACCAAAAAAAAAAAGAAAAGUGUUCCUCUCCUCCUGGGAAGAAGGGAGGUCAGAGACCAUAAUUAGAAUAACAAUGCAUGCUCCUUUCUUCCUUGUUUCCUUCUACAGUUCUGUAUUUGAGCAGACCCCUCCCCAAAGCCCUAUCAAGCUAUCUGUAAAGAAAUUGAUUAAACAGUUUAAGAGCUGGCCACUUAUUGAAUAAUGAUCACACCAUUCACAGUAAAACGUGCUGGCAUGAUGUGCAUGGCUGGGCUGGAUUGAAUGAACCUAAAGUCCUUGUCCUGUGACCCAGAGCGCUGCAGAGUGGUGUGUGGACCAUGACUUUAAUGGCUCCUCCAGGCUUCACAGUGUAGCCUGAUCCAGAGGGUGAAGGACAGCGCAGCUUCUUUUGGAGUCCAUGGGUUAGCUGCACAAGACAGGUGAGAAUGAGCCAGGCACACCCAGGGAGGGAAAAUGAAGGAGCUACCAAAGCUGUGCGAGUGGCC
rnacentral:lncRNA from 1 species